UACGAGUGGUACAAGCGUUAUCCGGAAUCAUUGGGCGUAAAGGGUGCGUAGGUUGUCUUGAUUAGUCUUUCGUUAAAACUCCCGGCUUAACCGGGAAGGUGCGAGAGAAACGGCAAGACUUAGAGGAUGUGAGAGGUGUACGGAACUCAUGGUGUAGGGGUGAAAUCCGUUGAUAUCAUGGGGAACACCAAAUGCGAAGGCAGUACACUGGCACAUACCUGACACUGAGGCACGAAAGCGUGGGUAGCGAACGGG
rnacentral:rRNA from 1 species